AAAAAGGACGAUGUGCGUCCGAGGAAGCGGAAGUGGGAAAUCACUCCUUAACAGCACAGUUUCUGUACAAGAAAAUGAAAGAAUUUGAAAGCAAAGGAAGAGAAAGUGAAAGUACAAUUCACAGUUGCCCUGAAAUAAUGAUUAACAAACUCUUCAUUCAUGACUCUGAUUCGGGAAUUCUUCAAGGUAUUCGAGAAACAGAACAUUGCAUGUCUGCAAAAUCGGAAUGUUUUACUCCAAAGAGCCAUAUUAUCGUAGAGAGAUCGCGGUCUUGUGGAGCGAUAGAGGCACAAGAGCACGAUAUUUGUAAAAGUGACCUCUUUAAAAGAACUAGCAACAAUAAUUCGGUGACUACAGACGAUAGCAGGGAGGCACUUCUUGCUUUGGUGGAAAAACUUCAACUCCAGUUAGUCAAACUCAACGAAGACAUCGUUCAAAGAGACAGCAAAAUCAAAGAACUCAGCGCAAUUAAUGGCGAAAUGUUCAAAGAACUUGAAAAGUAUAAGACUGUUUGUAGAAGACUCAGUGAUCAGAAAAGUGCUUUAGAGGAAAAAUUUCAUAUCCAUUCUGAAUUUUCGCCUACAAAGGAUUACAUAAUGGAAUUUAUGUCUGAAGUUACAAAAACGCCGCAUUCCAAUUGUUCGUUUUCAGACGAGUACUUCAAGAUUCUCAAUGAUAAGUUGAAACAAAAAUUGAAUUUCCCGCCUUCUGACGUAGUGUUGAUAGACACGCCCAUGAAGGAGUGGUUUCCCGGGACUGAUUACGUAGUGAACGGCGAUCGACCAAUCAAAUCAGAGACCUCUUGUCUUGAAUCUUUAACAUUCCUUAUCAAACAUUUAAAAUCUGGGAAAUUCUGUGAUCUGAAGAUGAAGUUAUUUAACGAUGACCAAAACUCCUCAAUGUUCGGGUAUUUUCCACCUCAACAAAGUUAUCGGAAAAACCUCGAAGUUGACGUUCUGGCAGGACUAAAACACCCAAACCUUUUGAAAUCCAUACACAGCUACUGUGGAACGACGGAGAGAUUCCGUCGAUUCCUAACCGUUAUAGUCCCCCAACCGCGAGGAUCCAUGAAUUCCAUUGAAAUCCCAAAGCAAGCUUUAUUUAUUGUUACGGAGCAUUAUUCCCAUACACUCGAGUCUUUCAUUACUGCACAAAGAGGCGUUGCUCCGGCCCCAUUGUACGGACUGAGCAAUGAAUUCUUUCUGGGUUUGUUAUAUCAGAUUAUAUCCGGAAUGUUGUACCUGAGACGGUUCGGAAUAGUUCAUAGGAAUAUACACUCCGGGAGUAUUUACAUGUCCGAGCGAUUCUGCCCGGUUAUCGGGAACUUUGAAUUGGCUGUUCGAGUGUUUGACAAUGAUAACAACAAGGUGGCGCUGACAGAUGCGUGUCAAAUUUCGGCGGGAAAUUCAAAUGCUUGGUCACCAGAGCUCUUGCUGAGUAAGACGAGGGAACAUCAAUUGGUAGCGCAAAAUGUCAACCUUCUAAGCAUCUACGACAAGUCAGACCUGUAUGCCAUUGGGAGUAUGUUCUACAAUAUUCUUCUUCCCACCGAGGUCGAUCAGAAGUUUCAAGAAUUGAAAGAAAGGAACCCAACUUACACAACCCAGGAUAUUCCGGAAUUACCGGUCCAGUUAUCACGUGGAAUUAAAGUUUUGCUUAGGAACCUAGUCUGUAGUAGUCCUUCCGAUAGGUUGGAUGAGCAAACAGCGAAACUUUUGUAAGUAAAUCUUAAAAUGUCAACCAUUAAAUAUUACUAAACUUAUAGUAGGAUGAAGCUCUGCCGUUCAGUCUUGAAGAUAACUGUCAUUCAUUCACCUUAAAAGAUUUGUAUCUUUCUGUCGGUUUUUACAAAAUGUUAUUUAUCUGUAUGUAUGAAUUAUUUGCAGUGUUGGGGUUCUCUUGUUUUCUCCGAAAAAUAAAUCGUUCUCUACGAUCGAGGAAGUUGGGGUUUAUCGUCAUUCAAAGAUGUUAAGUUUAUUAGGAAAAGACGUUCGAAUCUUAAGAACGCCUAAUGCCACGUUCGAAGAAAUCCAGAGAGUAGUCGAGCCGGAACUAGAGGCUGACUUUUUAACCAAUGUGAUGGACCCGUCGUUCUUUCAUAUGUAUAACAGACUAUGUGCACUCAAAUGCCUAGAAUAAUAAAAUUGUUAGCUGUUU
rnacentral:misc_RNA from 1 species